UACAGAGGGUGCAAGCGUUGCUCGGAAUUAUUGGGCGUAAAGCGCGUGUAGGCGGUUUUGCAAGUCGGGUGUGAAAUCCCUCAGCUUAACUGAGGAAGUGCGCCCGAAACUGCAGAGCUUGAGUACCGGAGAGGAUGGCGGAAUUCCCCAAGUAGAGGUGAAAUUCGUAGAUAUGGGGAGGAACACCGGUGGCGAAGGCGGCCAUCUGGACGGAUACUGACGCUGAGACGCGAAAGCAUGGGGAGCAAACAGG
rnacentral:rRNA from 1 species